rnacentral:lncRNA from 1 species
GGGCUUUUGUUCUUCUUCAUUGAACCAUCCUUCUUCUUCCUCCUCCCUUAGGCAUUGAUCAAGAGUUGAUUCAAAGGGAGGUUAUCAGCCAUCAAAAGUCUUCUCUGCAAGGGAGCUAGCACCCCGGGGAGAUUCAAAGGCUUCGAUUGAUCCUCUGCCUCAUGUGGAUACCUAUAGAGGCCAGACGCAUGUGCGGCUUCAAUCGAACCUUCAUCAAUACCACGAUCAUCAGUUUGCAGCGAUUAUCUACCCGCACAAGGUGAAGAUCUGAUCUUCUUAAUGAUGUAAAAAAAAUUUAAUCCUAAUCUAUCUACGAACGACGGUUUUAAAAUAUGUUCAUGCGAUGAACGGGAUCUCGCGCAUGCCUUUCCGUUGCGUUCAGAAUUUUUCUGCGGCGUGCGAGGGAUUCCAACACGAACUUCAUGUGUGUAAGAAUGGAAGAGGAGGAAGUUAGUCAUAAAGCCAGACUAACAAAAAAGAAGCAGAACAAGAUGAGAAAAUAUACUAACAAAAGGGGCAGGGCUUAAGCCGGCGCCGACCAAGGCCGACUCUUGAAGCAGCUUGGCCAAAGAUGGAGCCUUCAUCCAACAGAAAAGGGAAGGGCUCAAUGCUUGGUUCCUAGGUGUCCUCCACAGGGUUGGAAAACCCCAAGGAGUCGUUGAAGGCAUAAGGAAAUUCUACCCUUUUCACUCGUGGAUGGACAAAGGGCCAGGAGGAAGGACAUUAUAACCCUUCCUCCAAGAAAGAUACCACCACCCCUUAUUCCGAGGAUGGGGCUUCACUUGAAAGAAAGCUCGAAGCAUCCCCGACAUAGGAGUGAUCCCUUGGAGCAAGACAAAUUAAAAAAAGCCCACAAUCAUCCUCCAAAAAUUGGGCAUGAGCUGUGUGGGGACAAAUUGGUACUGGGACAGUAGGUCGGCAAUAACCGACGGGAUCGGAAGUGUUAUCCUACCUUCAGGGACUCCUCAUAUAGUGCCAUCUGGUUCUCCCUAGGCAAAGUCAUCCGAUCUGAAGGACCAGGGCGUUCAAGGACAAAGCCCACGAAAAUAAAAAAUGCCAUCCAAAUUCGAUCGAGUUUGGACUUCCCCAGAAAACUUAUCUCAGUAUUUAGACAGGAAGACACCUUGGAAAGAACUCCCUCCGAGGUCAUAGAGACCUAGUACCUCAUUGUUGGAAGACCGACCUCCAGUAGAUGGGUCGAUGGAUGGUCGCCAAGAAAAAGAGAAGAAAAUAAGGAGAAAGAGAUAAAAGAGGGGAGAGAAAGCAAAACAACCCACCAGAAAGCAAAGGCAAGAUUCUAGUUGGGGACAUAGAAGGAGAACCUUCCGAUAGAAGUGUUAGAAGUAUGCCCUAGAAGUCAAUUUGGCAGACGCAUUGUAAUUAUUCUGAGACAUAAAUUUGUUAGAUGUAUGCCCUAGAAGCCAAUCUGGCGGACACAUUAUUAAUUCUGAGACAUAAAUUUAUACUUGAUUUUAUUAUUGUUGAAUAAUAAAUGGGCAUCUUUUCAUUCAUAUUAUUUAUGUGUCUAUGAAUCGUCCAACAAAUUAAUAAGAUGAUGAUACAUAUUCUCAAGAGUUGAAAAUUUGAGCCAUGUAUCAUUGGUGAUUAAUUUCUAAAUGCUCCUGAUCAAUGGAUCAUCACGAGGACGGUGAUCGAUCCGAUCAGUGCACAGAUUGCUUCCCUUAUGGAUGGACGAGACUCGAGUCCACAGUGUAGGGACACUGAAGUAAGAGUGCAGGUGCUUGUUAGAGAACAAGGGUAUUGAGCGUGACCAAGAUAAGAAGUCACUUGGAUGUCUAUCCACUCGUCAGUGACUUGCUUGAUGUUACAGUAGUGUGACUAGUCCUUUGACCUGCGGUGCUUCGGCUAUUCAUAGUGAGGUUAUUGUAGUUUGACUGCACAUAUACAUGGUCUCUAGUCAUAUGGGUCCUUGUUGUGUAGAUUGGCUGCAGUAAGUUCACUGUAGGAGUAGGGUAUACACUUACAUGGAAUCUAUCGACCUUGAUAGACGAGGAGUGAUCCUAUGUGAUUUAUUAGACUGAGUUCUAAGACCUUGGCCAGGGCAGAAUAUAUAGUGGAACUCUUGAACUCAAGUCGAAUAAAUCUAGACAUAUGACAGACGACGGGGUUUGACGAGUUAUCCAUGACCUCCGGUCUGUAGGGAUCCACGAUAGAAGGACUGUAUCAUACGAUAACUGCACCUAGAGGUUCAUCAUUCUAUUCUGCUGGGUUGCCACUACAUGCUGCUAGGUGUCACUGGUGGAUGGUGAGACUCAUAGGGACCAUCUUGAUGGUCGAUGAACUCUGGUGAGUUGAGUUGAAAUUGUUUCAACCCAUUAAAAGAAGUUUUCAAUGAUAUUGUGAUAGAGAUCGCAAUAUAUCUCACUACCAGUCAGAAUAGAACCUAUAGGGUCACACACAUUAGAGGUAUUGACCGAUCCGAUGGUUGAAUGUGAUUAGGAAUCAGAAAUAAUCAAUUUGAUUGAUAAUUGGUUAACCCGCUAAGAGUUAGUGAGUUGAAGAAGGAAUAAUUGCAAUCGGAUUGCAAUUUAAUUUAAUUAAUUGGAUUUAAUUAAUUGAACUUGAUCAUGAGUCCUACUUGAAGUAGGAUUCUUGAAGUCCUAAUUAGAUUAGGAUUUCAAGUUAAAUUAAAGUCCCACUUGGAGUAGGAUUUCUAAUGUCUUAAUUAAUUUAAUCUAAUAAAUUAAAAUUGUUGCUGGUGGUCCAGACCGAGAACGAUUGGCACAGCGGUGUGAACGGGGUUUCC